UCUGUCCCGUUCCCAGUGCUAGUUCGUCAUGCAAGAUAUUGCUUUUGUACAAGGAUGAUGCCAAACAAGAAUCUGGUAAUUUGUAACAUGUCCUUCGGUAGUUAAAUAAAAGAGUAGAAAAAUAAUGUGCUAAAAUAAAAAAGGAAUAUAUACACUGUU